rnacentral:rRNA from 1 species
GAUGAACGCUGGCGGCGUGCCUAAUACAUGCAAGUCGAGCGAACGGACGAGAAGCUUGCUUUUCUGAUGUUAGCGGCGGACGGGUGAGUAACACGUGGAUAACCUACCUAUAAGACUGGGAUAACUUCGGGAAACCGGAGCUAAUACCAGAUAAUAUUUUGAACCGCAUGGUUCAAAAGUGAAAGACGGUCUUGCUGUCACUUAUAGAUGGAUCCGCGCUGCAUUAGCUAGUUGGUAAGGUAACGGCUUACCAAGGCAACGAUGCAUAGCCGACCUGAGAGGGUGAUCGGCCACACUGGAACUGAGACACGGUCCAGACUCCUACGGGAGGCAGCAGUAGGGAAUCUUCCGCAAUGGGCGAAAGCCUGACGGAGCAACGCCGCGUGAGUGAUGAAGGUCUUCGGAUCGUAAAACUCUGUUAUUAGGGAAGAACACAUGUGUAAGUAACUGUGCACAUCUUGACGGUACCUAAUCAGAAAGCCACGGCUAACUACGUG